rnacentral:rRNA from 1 species
GACAGAGGUUGCAAACGUUGUUCGGAAUUACUGGGCGUAAAGGGCUCGUAGGUGGCCAACUAAGUCAGACGUGAAAUCCCUCAGCUUAACUGGGGAACUGCGUCUGAUACUGGAUGGCUUGAGUUUGGGAGAGGGAUGCGGAAUUCCAGGUGUAGCGGUGAAAUGCGUAGAUAUCUGGAGGAACACCGGUGGCGAAGGCGGCAUCCUGGACCAACACUGACACUGAGGAGCGAAAGCCAGGGGAGCAAACGGG